UACGUAGGGGGCGAGCGUUGUCCGGAAUCAUUGGGCGUAAAGAGCGCGCAGGCGGCUUGGCAAGUCGGGUGUGAAAUCCCGGGGCUCAACCCCGUGACUGCAUCCGAUACUGUCAGGCUAGAGGUAGGUAGGGGAGAUCGGAAUUCCUGGUGUAGCGGUGAAAUGCGCAGAUAUCAGGAGGAACACCGGUGGCGAAGGCGGAUCUCUGGGCCUUACCUGACGCUCAGGCGCGAAAGCUAGGGGAGCGAACAGG
rnacentral:rRNA from 1 species